rnacentral:rRNA from 1 species
UACGGAGGAUCCGAGCGUUAUCCGGAUUUAUUGGGUUUAAAGGGUGCGUAGGCGGCCGAGUAAGUCAGCGGUGAAAUUUUGCAGCUUAACUGUAACAGUGCCGUUGAUACUGCAUGGCUAGGAUUUGGUUGCUGUGGGUGGAAUGUGUGGUGUAGCGGUGAAAUGCUUAGAUAUCACACAGAAUAUCAAUUGCGAAGGCAGCUCACAAAGCCAAGAUUGACGCUGAGGCACGAAAGUGUGGGGAUCAAACA